rnacentral:rRNA from 1 species
UACAGAGGUCCCAAGCGUUGUUCGGAUUCACUGGGCGUAAAGGGUGCGUAGGCGGUCAGGUAAGUCUGAUGUGAAAUCUCUGGGCUUAACCCAGAAAUGGCAUUGGAUACUAUUUGGCUUGAGAGUUGGAGGGGGGACUGGAAUUCUUGGUGUAGCAGUGAAAUGCGUAGAUAUCAAGAGGAACACCAGUGGCGAAGGCGAGUCCCUGGACAACUUCUGACGCUGAGGCACGAAAGCGUGGGGAGCAAACAGG